UAGCAGAUAACCAGGGUUGCAUCUAAAAUUUUUUAUAUAUUCAACUAAAUAAAGAUCAAAUUUUUACUUGAUAUAUAGCAGAAUAGGGAUCAAAUUUGUAAAAUCUGGAUUUAAAUCCUCGUGCAGGCCUAGAUCUGCAGGCCUUCUACUUCGUGCACACACCAAGCAUCGCAGAAAAGCGAGAUGAAGCCUCGAAUUGAAGCACUUUUGCAAAGGCCACCAAGAGAGGAAAGAGAGGUGCUGGUGAGAUGCCUCACACCAGUAAGGAGGAUGCCCAAGAGGGGCCCAUGGUAAGGAGAAAGAGGGCGGCA
rnacentral:lncRNA from 1 species